AUUUUUAAUAGGCCGGGCCUCCUAAAGUUCGUUAAAAAUUCAUAGGUUCUUUAUUCGACGUCGGUUUUCGUUUGUCUUUUUAUUGUUUUAUUACUACUGAGGAGAUCUUCAACUUUCGUUUAGGUUGCGUUAGCUAAAUAACACUCGAUCUUCAAUCCGAGUUUUUAGCCCUCUACUACUGUUACGAAACUUUGAAAAUUCGUAACUUCUUCAUACGAGGUCCAAUUUGGGCGAUCUUUUUAUGCACGUUCACCUUUCAACGAGAUCUACGACUUUUGUUUAGAUACUUAAGGCUUAAAAUGCAUUUUAUUGAGAUUCUACUUUUUACGUCAAAUAAUGUUUUAACGUCGCGUCGUAAAUAUACGAGUGGUUAUAAUUUCUUCAAUAUAACCCGGUUUUGAGCGUUCUUUAUGUUUUUGGAAACCUUGGCAUGAUAUCUAAUAUUCGAUGCAUCCCAACUUAGAUACUUGAACACUUUAUUUUCGAGGUUAAUUUCGUUGUUUUUAGCUUUCGAGUGUUUACAAUGCUUUUUGGGAAAAAUAGGGUUGUCACAUCAUCCCCCUGUUAAGGGAAUUUCGUCCCGAAAUUUAAUCUAAGAUAGAGUUUACAGUUUUAGGAAAAAGAUGCGGGUACUUUUGUUUCAUCUGAUCUUCGCGUUCCCAGGUGUAUUCAGGUCCUCGCUUGGCGUUCCAGCGGACCUUUACAAUGGGUAUGCGGCUUUGUUUAGUCCUUUUGAUUUCCCGAUCCAUGAUCUCUACUGGUUCCUCCACAAAUUGGAGGUUUUCAUUUAUUGCAAUUUCGUCUAGAGGGACGACAAGGGUCUCGUCGGAUAAGCACUUCUUCAGAUUCGAUACGUGAAAGGUAGGGUGUACGUUGUGGAGUUCCUGAGGUAGUCUAAGUUUGUAAGCCACUGGACCGAUCCUGGCAAGGAUCUCGAAUGGUCCGAUGUAUCUAGGGUUCAGUUUUCCACGUUUUCCGAAGCGUAUUAAACCUUUCCAAGGUGAGACUUUGAGUAGGACAUGGUCUCCAACUUGGAAUUCCAAGGGUUUGCGUCUCUUAUCUGCGUAACUCUUUUGUCUAUCCCUUGAUGCUUUUAGACGUUCUCGGAUUUGAACAAUCUUCUCCGUAGUCUCCCUUAUGAUUUCUGGUCCAGUGAGCGUGUUGUCAGUUGCUUGUCCUUUUGCUAGUUGCGUGUCCCCCACUUCGGCCCAGCACAAAGGUGACCUGCAUUUGCGGCCAUAGAGGGCUUCGAACGGGGCAGCCUUGAUACUGGUGUGGUAGCUAUUGUUGUACGAGAACUCGACCAAUGGUAGAUGUGUGUCCCAUGCUUUGCCAAAAUCGAUUACGCAAGCUCUCAGCAUGUCUUCUAGGGUUUGUAUAGUUCUCUCGCUCUGGCCGUCGGUUUGUGGGUGAUAAGCGGUACUCAUGUCUAGUCUUGUCCCCAAAGCUUUUUGUAGCGACUGCCAGAACCUUGAGGUGAAUCUACUAUCUCGGUCCGAGAUAAUGGAUAUGGGCACACCAUGCAGUCGUACAAUUUCUCUGAGGUAUGUCCUUGUUAACUUCUCCAAUUUAUCCGUCUCUUUGAUCGGUAGGAAAUGCGCUGACUUAGUUAACCUGUCGACAAUUACCCAAAUGGUGUCGAGUCCGCUUGUUGUCUUGGGUAAUUUUGUUAUGAAAUCCAUGGUUAUCCGCUCCCACUUCCAUUCGGGUAUUUCUGGUUGUUGUAAUAAACCCGAGGGCUUCUGAUAUUCCACCUUGACUUUGGCACAUGUCAGGCAUUUGCUCACGUAGGUAGCAAUUUCGGCUUUCAUGUUUUGCCACCAGUACAACUUCUUGAGAUCGAGAUACAUCUUAUCGGAGCCGGGAUGUAUGGAGUAUCGUGUUUUAUGGGCUUCGUCCAUAACGAUUUCUCUGAAUCCACCAAACUUCGGUAUCCAAAUUCGAUCCAUGAAAUAACGAAUUCCGUUGUUCUUGGUCUCAAGGUUCUUAUCCAUUCCCCUUAGGGCUUCUCCUGUCACAUUUUCGGAUUUCAAGGCUUCUAUUUGGGCUUCCUUGAUUUGCGUGAACAGGUGUGAAUGGAUCGUCAUAGUUAGGGAUUUUACUCGGCGACCUGAGUACUCCUUCCGACUGAGUGCAUCAGCCACUACAUUAGCUUUUCCAGGGUGAUAUCGAAUUUCGCACUCGUAAUCACUUAGUAGUUCUACCCAUCGUCUCUGUCUCAUGUUGAGUUCCUUCUGAUUGAGGAUAUGUUGGAGGCUUUUAUGAUCAGUGAAGAUGGUACAUUUUGUGCCGUAGAGAUAGUGUCUCCAUAUCUUCAGAGCGAAGACGACUGCUCCUAGCUCAAGAUCAUGCGUUGUGUAGUUCACUUCGUGCGUCUUUAGUUGUCUUGAGGCGUAGGCGAUGACCUUCCCUCUUUGCAUCAAGACACAUCCAAGAACUUGGUUUGAUGCAUCACAAUAGACCACGAAGUCCUCCGUUCCUUNNNNNNNNNNNNNNNNNNNNNNNNNNNNNNNNNNNNNNNNNNNNNNNNNNNNNNNNNNNNNNNNNNNNNNNNNNNNNNNNNNNNNNNNNNNNNNNNNNNNCCAUAACACGCCCGGCUUACUCCAGUGCCAGAAACUUGAGUGAUUAGUCGUGCCGGUGCUUUACAGAAAUAGGCUGUGUGCCCUUUCCUGUUGCAGUUUUUGCAGUGCAUCUCGCGACAAAUACCAUGGUGAUGGUAGUUGCACUUGCUGCACUUGGGCAGAAUUCCCGCAUAUGGUUUUGUUGGCGCAGAGGUAGCAGGAGUUGUGGUGGGGGUAGUAGCAGCAUGAACCGCAACCAUUUGCUUCUUUGAAGGUUCUUGCGAAGUUUGUCCCUUCCUUUUGUUCCAAAGUUUCUUCUUGUUGUUGUUGUUGGCAUUGAUUUCAUUGUUGUUGUUCCCUUUGGUUGGUUCAGCCAUGAUAGCCGCGACUCCUUGACAGACACCAUGAUCAACAAGUGAUUGCGCUAGUUCCUUGGCGCUGGCGAAAGUCAAGGGUCUGGAAGCUAGCACACUUCCACGAAGUUGGGGUGAUAGUCCCCAGAUGUAUCUCUCGACCUUUUGGCUCUCCAGGGUUAACAUGCCUGGGCAAAGCGUUAUUAAGUCACUGAACCUGUUGGUGUAACCAGCUAUGUCCGAACCUACCAUCGAGAGGUUCCACAAUUCCUGUUCAAGCUUCUGAAUCUCGCCUCUUGGGCAGUAUUCUCGAAGGAGCAUUCUUUUCAGGUUUUCCCAACCCAUGGAGUUUGCCACCACCAGGGUUAGUGUCUGGACGUGGCCGUUCCACCAUGUCAGGGCGCGUUCAGAGAAAGUAAAAGCGGCGAACUUUACUUUGCUUUCUUCAGGACAUGCACAGAUUUCGAAUACAGCUUCUGUUUUCUCUAUCCAUUGAGAUAGAGCCAAUACUCCCCCAGUCCCGUAAAAGGGAAUAGGUUUUCCGUUGGUGAAGUCUUUGUAAGUGCAUACCCCUGAACGGCUUUGACCUUGGCCAUUUGUAAAACUGUUUGUUCCUCCCCCCGAUCCGUUGUUGCUCAUUUGUGCCAUUGCUGCAGUUACAGCAGCGGUUACAGCAGUCUGGAACAUAACGGUGUCCAUAAUUGGAGGAGGUGGUGGAGGUGGUGUUGAAGUUGAGUUUCUGCGUGUUGAUCUACGAGGAGGCAUGUUCUGGUAGAGAAAAAUAAGAAUGAAUACUAUAAGUUUCUAAUGUUUUGACAAUCGUGUGUUAGUUGUAAUUUGUUUUGACUUUAGUUUAUGGUUUCAAGGUAGGCAUAGAAAUUUAAAACUCGUAAUUUUUGAGAGGUAUAUAAUAAGAAAUACUUCAUAUUUAUACAUAUAGGUCACACCUGAGGUGUGUUACAUUGCAUAUCUUGUUCGGGAAAAUUUGAUCCUCCUAGAGAUCUCCGAUUACGGAUACAACAGGGAAAACAAGGGAAAUAAAGGAAAAACUUUUAUCCGAAAUCCUAAUCUAUAACAAAAUUGUUGGGGCUUGAACAAGUUCUACUUGCGGCGUUUGGAGCUAGAUUCGGCAUCCGACCGUUUGACUCCCAUCAGUCGCCUCUCAAGAUCUGCUUGUUGUUCCUUCAUCUCUCUUAUAUCUGCCAGAGCCGUUAUCAUUUGGUUCUGAAGUGUCCCCGUGUAGAUUUGGGUAUUCUCAUGUAGUCCUUCCAAACGGCGGAUGUCAGCGGCGUUACCUUGGGUAGCAGCAUUGACCUCGCGAACUCUGGUUGCUUGCCUGUCCGUCUCGUAGUUCUGGGUAGCUAUAGCGUUCACAAUAACAGGAAGUGCUCGAUCAGCUGAGCUUCCCCCACUGACAUUGUAAAAAUCUCGGCACAUGCCGAAAGGAGGGCGUACACCUUGUUGGCGGCUCCAGUAGUAGAGGUGACUUCCCCACAUGGGAAUGGGUCCCGGUUGAUAUGGUCUGAUUUCGGGAGGAUGAGGGAUGGGAGGGUCGUACACUUCUGGCUCGGAGUCUGUCCCGCUAGAAAUCUCCUCGAUCUCUUCGUCGACUUCGAAUUCCUCUCCGACUUCGACUUCGAAUUCUCCCUCGAUAACCCCUUCGGGUUCUUCCUCGACCUCUUCUUCGAUUUCCUCUGGGUCUUCCUCCGGGUCUUCUUCUAUCCAACCGCCGUUGCCUUGGUUUGGGUAGUAGGGAUCUCCUGGUAAAUGGAAUCCGGCCAUUUGUCUGUACUAGGAUGGAUGUAUGAGAACUUUAUAAGAAAAGAAAAUUCUAUUUAACGACUUACUAUUUUUAACUAUAAUUUGUACAACUAUUUUUAAUAAUACUCCUAUAAUAUUUCAACUUGGCGAAACUAAAAUAAUUUGUAUUUGGUAAGUUCUUGGCUUGUUGUCCACUAUGACCAUUCCUCGACGUACGUUGGUCAAAUCCAGGAUAAAUAUAGUUGAUCAGGCUAUAUUUAUUCUCGACCUGAUUACAUACCCCGAGGCUCAAUCGUAGUGUCGUAACUUGCCUUAAUACUUUUUAGUAAAACUUGUUAUGAUACGAGAUUAAUGCAUGCUUUUAAAAAUGUAUAUCUUUAAAAGAAAGUAUUUUGUUCAUGAAAAUGUUUCAUCAAAGGGUCUUUGGUCCCCUUUGUAUUUAUAACUUGUAUAUCGUAUGUGGUUCGAUAUACUUAGUUCACUAUAAACAAUGCUCUGAUACCAAUCUGUCACACCCCCAAACCAGAAUGGCGGAAACAUUCGGGGGUGGAUGACUUCACGUAGUAUCACAACCAUUGAAUAUUGUAAAGAAAGUAACACAACCAUCACAUAUAUAAUGAAAACGUAUGUUGUUGCGUUAUACAUAAUAGCAAAAGAAUAUUACAAUGAGAUGAUAAAUGUUCCAUAAUAAAACAUCCUUAGUGUUCCUUUCUCCAAAAGCUGGUGGUUACCUGUAUUACUGAUUCCCUGAGAAAUACAAGUGGUUUCGAAAAAGUGUCAACAAUUAAGUUGUUGAGUUCAUAAGCGUUUUGUAUUGAAAAAGUAUGUCCUCUUUGAUAGUAAACCGAUGAACGAGGUUUUCAGAAAAUCCAAUAUUUUCUAUAAAUGAUUUGAAAAGUUUCCCGUGUUGGAGUGCGUUUGUGUUUUCCAUACUUGAAUAAUAUUGAUAAAAUUUGUAUUAACGAUAAAAUGGAAAGCUGAAAUGCAUAUAUGAAUCUCGUAAAUCUAACUUGUUUUUAUACUUUUAUGUGAGUUUUAUAACCAUGCUAAUGACAUUGUUGGCCUGUAACAACGUUCUUCAGGCGUUGGAACUGUUAUGACAUUUGUCACCCCAGGCCUGCCGGCCUAGCUGUAGCUAACAGCUUAGGUGUGGGAUUGUCAAUCCCGUAUAGAUCUAUACACAAGUAUCACGCUCCCCCUACAAGGGAUUAUGGUAUAUAAUACAGGACUUAAUAAUGCAUACUCGAACGUACGUGAAGCUGUCUCACAUUACUAGGUAUAAACAGAUUUACGAUGAUAAAAGACUGUACUUCUUUUGAAAGCAUUUCAUUUGUCGAGAUGUAUAUGUAAAAUGUAUGAAUCACUUGAAUACUAUGCUCAUUAUAGUUUGUCAAAAGUAUGUUCCCAUUUGGUAAUAACAACUUGGUGAUAUAAUAUCCCUUUAAAACAUAAAGUUAUUUUUGUAUCAACACUCUAUAAGAACGAUAUUAUAAAAAUAAUACUUUGAUUUGUAAUGUACUUGUAUUUCCCCCCCUAAAACGUGAAAAGAAUUGAAAAGUAGGGGUAUGAACUCACUCGUUUCGAAGAGAGAGGCUAGGGUUGAGCAGAACUUCGUCCGCGGAUGGUUGCGUCGUCGGGCUCUUCGGGGAUCUCUGCAGCGUAAAUCUUUCGUCGGGGGCUCGAGUGCGGAAACCGAGGUGAGGGAAUGGUCUCUGGUGCUUGGAAGGGUGUGAGAGUGACUGAAGAAUUGAGAAAGGUGUGCAAAGACUCGAGCUCAUGCCUUCUAUUUAUAGGGCUGGAAACCCUCGUACGCGGCGCGUACUUCCGGAGUACGCUGGGCGUACUCGGUACGCGGGGCGUUCUUGGUUACGCGGGGCGUAGAAUGGCGUCAUGGCUUACGACUCGGGUCUAGCUAAACGUAGCUUGGGCGGGCCGAUGGGACUCGACUCUGGGUCUAGUACGCGGGGCGUACUCCCAGAGUACGCGGGGCGUAAUCCCUGCUUCCGACUUCUAAAUUCCGUAACUUUCGCGUACGAUCUCCGUUUUUCGCGUUCUUUAUAUCCACGCGUAGGUGAGAUUAUGCUCUACAACUUUCCUUUAGACUCCGUCGGCUAGUUUUGACUUUAUUUUUAAUGAUAUAUUUUUAAUAGGCCGGGCCUCCUAAAGUUCGUUAAAAAUUCAUAGGUUCUUUAUUCGACGUCGGUUUUCGUUUGUCUUUUUAUUGUUUUGUUACUACUGAGGAGAUCUUCAACUUCCGUUUAGGUGGCGAUAGCUAAAUAACACUCGAUCUUCAAUCCGAGUUUUUAGUCCUCUACUACUGUUACGAAACUUUGAAAAUUCGUAACUUCUUCAUACGAGGUCCAAUUUGGGCGAUCUUUUUAUGUACGCUCACCUUUCAACGAGAUCUACGACUUCGGUUUAGAUACUUAAGGCCAAAAUG
rnacentral:lncRNA from 1 species